rnacentral:rRNA from 1 species
AACGAACGCUGGCGGCAGGCUUAACACAUGCAAGUCGAACGCGUGCAGCAAUGCACGAGUGGCGCACGGGUGCGUACCGCGUGGAUAUCUGCCUUUUGGUUCGGAAUAACCCCGGGAAACUGGGGCUAAUACCGGCUGGUUCCUCCGGGAUAAAGAUUUAUCGCCAAAAGAUGAGUCCGCGUCCGAUUAGCUAGUUGGUGAGGUAAUGGCUCACCAAGGCGACGAUCGGUAGCUGGUCUGAGAGGACGAUCAGCCACACUGGGACUGAGACACGGCCCAGACUCCUACGGGAGGCAGCAGUGGGGAAUAUUGGACAGUGGGGGCAACCCUGAUCCAGCCAUGCCGCGUGAGUGAUGAAGGCCUUCGGGUUGUAAAGCUCUUUUGGCGGGGACGAUGAUGACGGUACCCGCAGAAUAAGCCCCGGCUAACUUCGUG